rnacentral:rRNA from 1 species
UACAGAGGGGGCAAGCGUUGUUCGGAAUUACUGGGCGUAAAGGGCGCGUAGGCGGCCUUCUAAGUCGAACGUGAAAUCCCCGGGCUCAACCCGGGAACUGCGUCCGAUACUGGAAGGCUUGAAUCCGGGAGAGGGAUGUGGAAUUCCAGGUGUAGCGGUGAAAUGCGCAGAUAUCAGGAGGAACACCAGCGGCGAAGGCGGCGCUCUGGGCCGGAACUGACGCUGAGGAGCGAAAGCGUGGGUAGCAAACAGG